UAGUGAGUUUGAUCCUGGCUCAGGACGAACGCUGGCGGCGUGCUUAACACAUGCAAGUCGAGCGGAAAGGCCACUUCGGUGGUACUCGAGCGGCGAACGGGUGAGUAACACGUGAGUAAUCUGCCCCUGGCUUCGGGAUAGCCACCGGAAACGGUGAUUAAUACCGGAUAUGACCACUUCGUGCAUGUGAUGGUGGUGGAAAGUUUUUCGGCCAGGGAUGUGCUCGCGGCCUAUCAGCUUGAUGGUGAGGUAAUGGCUCACCAUGGCUUCGACGGGUAGCCGGCCUGAGAGGGUGACCGGUCACACUGGGGACUGAGACACGGCCCAGACUCCUACGGGGAGGCAGCAGUAGGGAAUCUUCCACAAUGGACGAAAGUCUGAUGGAGCAACG
rnacentral:rRNA from 1 species